CCUACGGGUGGCAGCAGUGGGGAAUAUUGCACAAUGGGCGCAAGCCUGAUGCAGCCAUGCCGCGUGUGUGAAGAAGGCCUUCGGGUUGUAAAGCACUUUCAGCGGGGAGGAAGGCGGUGAGGUUAAUAACCUCAUCGAUUGACGUUACCCGCAGAAGAAGCACCGGCUAACUCCGUGCCAGCAGCCGCGGUAAUACGGAGGGUGCAAGCGGUAAUCGGAAUUACUGGGCGUAAAGCGCACGCAGGCGGUCUGUCAAGUCGGAUGUGAAAUCCCCGGGCUCAACCUGGGAACUGCAUUCGAAACUGGCAGGCUAGAGUCUUGUAGAGGGGGGUAGAAUUCCAGGUGUAGCGGUGAAAUGCGUAGAGAUCUGGAGGAAUACCGGUGGCGAAGGCGGCCCCCUGGACAAAGACUGACGCUCAGGUGCGAAAGCGUGGGGAGCAAACAGGAUUAGAUACCCUAGUAGUC
rnacentral:rRNA from 1 species